GUCCAGGCUGAAAGGGAAGAGAUAGGUUAAUAGGGAGAUGCAUAACAUUGCAAGCUAUCCAGCAUGGGAGUUGGAAAAGAGAGGGAGGGUGCCUGUUUUGUCUCCUACUCAAGGUUCUGUGGGUGUUAAAUGUUGCUGGAACCACAGCUGUGUUAAGUAAGAGUUAAAGCACCAUCCCAAGACCAGAUUUACUCUUCUCAAGAGAAAGGCUGGAAACCUUCUGCGAGACAAUACAUACAAAAAGAUUUGCAUUACCAUAAAAAACUAUUGUUGGGCUAGCAGUGUAAUCUGAACCCCAAAAAUGGACACCUUCAGCCAAAUGGAAGAUUUUUAGCCUAGAAUCACAACAGUUCUUCCCAGAAAAAUGCCCUGGGGAGCAGUAUAAAAUUCAAUUCAAUUAGAAGGUGCUUCCUUCUAAUCUAAACAAAGAAGUAAAAAGAAAGACACCACCUACCUUAUCUAUUGAUUUUGGGAAAACUACUUUGCACCUCACUGCCAAACUGAGCAUUUGCUGAUGGACAGGGUUAUUUUGUUAAAAGAUAAAUGGGAGCUUUCCUUUUAAUUGCAAAACACCAACCAAACAAAAAACCCCACAAAUAAACAUUUUUUAAAAUGUCUUGCAAAUCUUUGCCAACAUUUCAAUUUCUAUUUUUUUUUUCACAAUAGAUAACAAAGGCAUUAGUAAUUGCCAACAUUGAUUUAUCUGAAAAACAUCAUAUCAAACCAGUAGCAAACCUUACAUGGGUAAACAGAUUCUUGGAGAGGAAAAAAACAUUGAAAAUGUCCACUUGAACAGGGCUUUUGCUUGACAUAACAGUCCCAUAAGCAAAGGAGCUACAACUUCUAAAGGGGUGCAAAACUGGUUGUGUAACUGUUCUCAGAAAAUAUUUAUCAGUGAUUCACUGUCAGAGCAGAGUGAUGUGCACCUACAGGCAUCCAUCACAGGUCUGCUUCCAUAAAGACAUAAGGGAAUAGCUCUUCCUCUUCAGAGCUUGACGGUCUUUUUUAUUCCCAAUUGAUCUUCACAGUGUUAGUACAAAGAUCAGAUGCUCCUCUGUUAGUCAAGUCCUUGCUCACUGUGAGCACUGUCUCCACACAGUGAUGCAGGCUGCAAAUUCAUUAUAUAAAUCAAUUCCAGCAUGUCUAGUGGGUUACUGUGUGUAACUUCAAUACCAUCAAUAAGAAGUAGGAUCUGAUUGUUUUGGGCUUUGGAACUUUCAAAUUAAAGGCCAGCUACCUUCAGUUCCUUCAAUUUGGAGUAGAUAAGGAGUUACUUGUAAGUAUUUGGAAAAUAACAAGGAGAGGAGUAGCAGCUACCAUGGAUUCAUCAGGUAUAAAUUAUAUCUAGUAGAAAUUGCAAUCAGAUUUAUUUUUAUGAUAGACUAACAAGACUCAUAAAAAGCAAAAAGUUGUAGAUAUCGUCAGAUAUGGGGACUUGAGUGAGAUUUUUGUCAUCAUGCAUGUUCGUAAAGAAACUAACUGAAACCCAUACAUGCCCAGUACAAAUCUGGUUUCAUAGAGUUUCAGCACAGAAAGGUGGCUACAGGAGUCUAUCCAAGUUUUUUCAAUGUUUCACUAACAAUGCAGAUGAUGGAAUAAAAAAUGCACGUCUGAAGGUUACUGAUAGUGCAAAACUGGGAUGGCCACAGUUACAAUGAAGGAUGGAUUUCAAUUUCAAAACAAACUUGACAACCAGAGCAAUGUUUUCAGGACUGCAACUCAAUAGGGACCAGCACAAAGUCGGACACUAAGGUAUGAACAAUCAGACACACAUGUUGAGUAGAGGAUGGUGAGCAGCUGGUUUUCCCAACGGGAUUUGCAAAGUAAAAAGAAUCACCUUCCAUAACCUGCCAUACUUUGCACCUGUUGUCUCUACAACCCCACAUAUAUAUACAGCUACAUACACACCCCCAUACCAGCCACUGUGAGAAAAUCAACUCUAUUCCUGCCAAAACCAGCACACACUUAAGUGUUAAAGGACUUAUUAUCAGACCACACUGUAACGCAAAAAAAAAAAAAAAAAAAAAAAAAAAAAAAAAAAGCCCAUGAUUGAGCAGAGGCUAGGCUAGCUGCAGCCACAUUAAACACUAAAACAACCCAAAUACUGUUUAACUACAUGGAACUUACAAAAUUCUUGGGCAAAUUCUUCUUGUGAAAGAUGGAUGAGACAUCGGCUCACCCAAACACUAUCUAUCCAAUAGUCAUUGACAUUUAUCCCAUAAUACUUGACAUCUGUCCUCUAUUUGUUGACAUUCUUCCCACAUUCAUUGAAAAUAGUUGUAAAAGGGGAUGUUGUUGUAGAGGAAGGAAGAGUUGAACUCUCAGAACUGAACAGCAGAAGUGUGAUUGAGAAGGGGAUGGAUUAAAUACUGGACAGAUAGUUUGCAUAGAUGGAAGAAGUCAGAGUGAUAAGGGUUUACAGAGGGAAUCCUCUUGAAUUUGUGUGUGGAAGCAGCACUUCAGUUCUCCAGCUUAAUGCUGAGUUUUAACAAGCACUUGCAGUGCCCUGCAUAAGCAGAGCCUCAACAUUGUGAGUCCCUCACUGCUAUGGGUACCCAGUCCUAUCUGUGCCGACAGCUGCUCAUGGGAAGAGAGAGCCAGGCAGAUCUGAAACACCAGGGAAUCCUUUCCAGGUUAAUUCCAUGGUGUUACGUGACUGCAUGCUCUAUCAGUGAGAAAGCCAGCUGCCUCCUUGGCGGCUGUACUGCACGAGGGAUAGCUGGGGGAGUGUGAUGGCAUGUGAUAGGAGCAGGUUUAGUUAAACCAGGAACCUUUCCUCUUAUCUUUCUGAAAAACAGUUGACAAAGAGGCUUGCUGGGGUUGCCCUUCUCAAAAAAAACCCCACCAAAAUUAGUCUCUGAAGCAAAAUGCUUCCAAGAUAUAGUCUACUCUAGUAAACAUCCCUUUAACUCUCUAGACACUAGUUCCAGCUAAUUGCAGCUACUUUCCUUAGAGCUGCCAGCCUGUUUGUAAGGAAGGCACAGAGAGCUGGCCAGCAGAAAUGUGAAUUAUUAAUGUUCUUGCUGAAAGCAUGAGUCUUGUCUUGUCACUAGAGCCUUGCUUGAUUUAAUGGAUCUGCAGAGACAGUUUCUGUAGUAACCCAGAACCUUGCCCAGCAAAAUGUCACCCAGCUAACACAGAACGGUAAUAAAUAUCUGUCUGGGUAGCUGAAGAUGACACAGAUGUGACAGAGUAAAAUAUAUCUGAGUUUUGAGUGCUCCAGUCUCUCAAGACCGACCAAGAUGUCAUUUCAGAAGGUGAGCCAGUGGCAUGUCAACUCAGGGACCAGUAACAAUCUCCAGCAUGGGGUUUCUAAAGAUUACACAAACUUUCCUGGGAAGGCAGCAAGUCUUUAGCACCAGGAACACAAGGAAAAAAAGCCUGGGUCAGACUUUUAGUGGUAGCCCACACAGUUAAAGUCAGUGUAAAUAAAUAUGUGCUUCACAAAACUUACUGUCACAUCUUUGGGCGCCAUGUCCAGAUACCAAAUACUGAGUUUGAUAAUACUGUCCAAAAUAUUUCAGAGAUCUUUUAAUUGCCAUGGUAUUUAGUAUAGAUCGACAAAGACAGGAAUACAUUGAUUCAAGAGUUUCUUUGCUAUCUAUCCUUAGUCUUUGAUCUUGGCUCAUUACUGUUUGAGGUCUGUCUGCCUUCCUGUAAAGAUGAACCCAUCACAAUGAAAAUGUUACAGAGAUUACAAGCUGCCAGGACUAUCUUGAAAAGCUUUGAAAGGCAAUACAGGUUGGUACAUUGUCUAGACACACUAAACAUUUUCCACUAUGUGUCUAUUUGAACUUUUCCUAAUUAUCAACCCAUCUUUUACUAAAUAUGUUUAUCAUGUCUUAAGUAUUUUUGAGGAUAUGAAGCCCAAAACAUAUUAAUAAAGUUACAAUACCUAGAAUUUUGAAAAUUAAAGAAAUGUUAGUAGAUGGUUUCUUCAUCUGCAUCUCCAAUGUAGCUGUAACUGCAUUACAUCUCCAGAUGCAUCUCCAACUCAGCUGUACUCACCGGAAAAGUAAACUGCAUUUUUUUGUGCUUCCACAGAUCUGCCAUUCCAGCAUUUCCUACGUUUUGACUUUAUGAACAAAACUAGGCUUUCCGCAUUCAGAACAACCUAGGUGCUAAGCUCUAAACAGGAGAUAAUCCAGUUAUAAAAAGCCUGUGGUUAUUUGGACAGAGGUCACCAAGGUACAACUCUAAAGGUGAAUAAAAGUGAGGGAAGCUGCCUGACACCUAUGCAACCUGGACAAGGAGUAAUCUGGCUGGCAGACAACAGAGACUCGGUUUAUAUUUAAAAGUUUUGCUGAUUUAGCAAUAGCAGGAUGUAACAACAUUCACCAGUCAAUACAGCUUUGCUGGCAAAAACCCACAGGUGUGGUUUCAACAGCAAAACAUCCUUUCAGCUCUGAUAUAAGCAAGAGAUAGUUAUUAAAACAAUUUAAAUUGGAUCCUGUAUCUAGGAUAGUGUACCAGGUCUGCAGCUACAUUGGCAAAUUUUCUAGUCAAAGCCGUUCCAGAGAUCAGCUGCUGGAGAGCACGAGACUGAUGACAGCGGAGCUGCUGUGGAAGCUUGAGCAGGGUAUAAAGCUUUGCACCCUCACCCUCUGGGAGGCCCACAUAGAAACACAGCCUGCUUCCUUAAGAGAAUCUUGGCUGAAGAACAAAGGACUUCAGCUCAUACACGGAGGGGAUGAAAAGCAGCAAGAACACUUCUGGGUGCCUAGAUUCCCUCCCCCACCGCCCCCCCUUCUAUAGCUAUAAAACAGUUUAAAGGAAUUUUAUAAAACUUCCUAAGAAAAUUAAUCUCAUAACAUAAACACAUAAACACAAGCAUGACUACUCUCAACUGUAGAUGUUUUGGGAUGUAAUAAAUUCUUGGAAGGUGUUUUAUCUUGAUAUGUUUUCUUAUGUAUUACUAUAAUUUCAUGGCUAACCAUCAAAACUUCCUUAAUCAUCAAUUGCUGGUGAUCCUCAAGUCAAGUGUGCUAUAUGUGGGUCUAGGUUAGAGGCUUUCUAGAGGGUUUUAUACCAGCAAAACCUAUAGCUGCAUCUAUAAAAAACCCUCAAAUGACCCAAAUAUCCAAACUUUAUCUGACAGCUAUGUCAACUGUGAUAAGAAGCAGUGAAAUACAGCUGCACCAGAGGCACUUCUAGGUGAUGCUUUUAGCAAAGCUAUGCUUUUGAUAGGAGGCUCAAUAACACAUAUAUGAAGUAUGCUUUUGUAGCCAUAGAGAAACCCACACUCUGUGCAUACUGCUGGUACAAAAAAAUUCCUGCAAUAAUAAACAUAAGUAACAUAAAUAAUAAAGAAUUCCGUAAUAAUGAUCAACUUUUCAUUAAAGAGCCCGACGAUAGACUCAAUGGGUAUUCUUGUGCCACUCUUACUGAGCUGUUUCAGAAGUCCCUUAGAGCACGGAGUGUUCCCACGACUCCUCGGCUCACGGGGGCCCCACGAUCAACCUCUCACUACCAACUUGGUGAGGUACCACCGGCUGCACAUGAAGACUGCGAAAGGCAAACUUGUGUAAUACUACACUAAAACAUGAGAUCUGCUCGGGCACGUUGGGUGUACUCGACCUCAGGAAGACUCUGCGUUCUGGAGGCAGCACACUGCUUCGCCUCAUAUCGGGCUCGGUAUUUUCCUUAUUAGUGAACAGCAAACCUGCUUUUGAGGGUGGCCUUGGACCACAUGGUAUCCUCAUCAAGGCUGUUUUAUUCCUAUUAUUGGUUUUGCUCCUGUAAUUAACAGGAACGAGCAUUCUCACUUACAAACACGUACUUUGGAGGAGGAGCUAGAUUUCCCCACCCCCACAUUUUUCCCCUAGCAGCAGAACAGUGCGUUCUGUUUUUGCUGAAUAAACUGGCUAUACGUUA